CCUUGGUGAGGGAGGAAAGAAGGCAAAGCCACAUCUGAAGUCUCUCGGCCAGAAGAACCCUCUGUUCUGAGGCCAACAGUCCCCAGAAAGUCCCAAUCAAUCUCUCAGCAAAUUCCACAGGAUCUGUCAGAUUCAGAUCCAGUCAACUGCAGGCCGAGUGCUCUUCGCAUCUCAUCUUAUCUACUGCAGGAAGCAACCUGAGGGCAGCAAAGAGGAAGACAGCUGGUAUGAACGGGCUCUGAAACCUACCAGCUGUGCGGCCCAGAGAAAGCUACCUAACCUCUCUGAGCUUCAGCUGCUUCAGCUGUAAAAUGCUACAGGUCACCACUGUCUGGGUUGUUUGCUACUACCUUCUGCUGCUGCCUGAGAAAACCUGGGAGACUGUGAUCACAUUUUUUUUCCUGUAGAGCUGCCCGAAUACAGCUCUUCUCAAAGCCUUGCAGCAGAGAUGAUACAGCCAUCAGCAGCUGAUCCUGGAAUGAGUGUUGAGAGCAGCACAGACCACUCUACGUUUCUGCUCUGACCACAGGUCUGGCCUAGAAUUUGCCCCUCCACUGCACAAUGCAGGUAAAAACCUUUAAAAAAAUAAAUAAAUGGUCUCUGAGCCUCCCAGAAAUACAGCACUUAGAAUGUUGUUUUUGGAGGGGGCAUGUGAUAAAGAAUGGGAAAGAUAAUAAAGUAGCCUGUCACCCAGCUCACAGGCAGGUGCAUGUGGCUGCA
rnacentral:lncRNA from 1 species